rnacentral:misc_RNA from 1 species
AAGUCGUAACAAGGUUUCCGUAGGUGAACCUGCGGAAGGAUCAUUACCGAGUGUUUUUGUCGAGAGACGAGAUACCCGAUCUGAUGUCAUUUGAUGGUUGGGGUGAGGAGUGGUUUUGGGAGGGACUAGCGGUCGGGUAACUGCAAGCUAGUUCGAACCGGAAUCACAUCUUGCAGCCAGCACGAUAUUUCGGCGGAAGAGGUAGUGUUUGAGCUGCCCGCCGCCGGCCGUAUUUACAACUCUGUUUGAAAUGUGAAGUCUGAAGAGAUAUGGAAAAAAAUGAAAAGCAAAACUUUCAACAACGGAUCUCUUGGCUCUG